rnacentral:rRNA from 1 species
UACGUAGGGGGCAAGCGUUGUCCGGAUUUAUUGGGCGUAAAGAGCGUGUAGGCGGCUAGAUAGGUCCGUUGUGAAAACUCGAGGCUCAACCUCGAGACGCCGGUGGAAACCAUCUAGCUAGAGUCCGGAAGAGGAGAGUGGAAUUCCUGGUGUAGCGGUGAAAUGCGUAGAGAUCGGGAAGAACGCCGGCGGCGAAAGCGACUCUCUGGACGGAUCCUGACGCUGAGGCGCGAAAGCUAGGGGAGCAAACGGG